AAAAAGCCGCUAUCGUUUAUACCGUACCCGUACCGUAAACCGACACAGGUGGAUGAGGAGAGAAUCCUAAGGCCGGCGGAAGAAGCAUUGUCAAGGAACUCGGCAAAAUGGCCCCGUAACUUAGGGAUAAGGGGUGCCUGGGAAACCAGGCCGCAGAGAAUAGGCUCAAGCAACUGUUUAGCAAAAACACAGGUCUAUGCGAAACCGAAAGGUGAGGUAUAUGGGCUGACGCCUGCCCGGUGCUGGAAGGUUAAGAGGAGAGGUUAGCGCAAGCGAAGCUUUGAAUUUAAGCCCCAGUAAACGGCGGCCGUAACAAUAACGGUCCUAAGGUAGCGAAAUUCCUUGUCGGGUAAGUUCCGACCCGCACGAAAGGCGUAAUGAUUUGAGCGCUGUCUCGACAAUGCAUCCGGUGAAAUUGAAGUACCAGUGAAGAUGCUGGUUACCUGCGCCAGGACGGAAAGACCCCAUGGAGCUUUACUCCAGUUUGGUACUGGGACUCGGUAUUGCAUGUACAGGAUAGGUGGGAGGCUGAGAGACAGUAACGCCAGUUAUUGUGGAGCCGCUGUUGGGAUACCACCCUUGCAGUAUUGGGUUUCUAACCAGCCGCCGUGACCCGGCGGUGGGACAAUGCCAGACGGGGAGUUUGACUGGGGCGGUCGCCUCCGAAAGGGUAUCGGAGGCGCCCAAAGGUUCCCUCAGAAUGGACGGAAACCAUUCGAAGAGUGCAAAGGCAGAAGGGAGCUUGACUGCGACACCGACGGGUGGAGCAGGUACGAAAGUAGGGCUUAGUGAUCCGGUGGUAUUAAGUGGGAAUGCCAUCGCUCAACGGAUAAAAGCUACCCUGGGAUAACAGGCUUAUCACUCCCAAGAGUUCACAUCGACGGAGUGGUUUGGCACCUCGAUGUCGGCUCAUCGCAUCCUGGGGCUGUAGUAGGUCCCAAGGGUUGGGCUGUUCGCCCAUUAAAGCGGUACGCGAGCUGGGUUCAGAACGUCGUGAGACAGUUCGGUCCCUAUCCGGCGUGGGCGUAGGAUAUCUGAGAGGAGCUGUCCUUAGUACGAGAGGACCGGGAUGGACGGGCCGCUGGUGCAUCGGUUAGACUGCCAAGUCUACGGCCGAGUAGCCAAGCCCGGAAGGGAUAAACGCUGAAGGCAUCUAAGCGUGAAGCCCCCCUUAAGAUGAGAUAUCCCAUUCGAAAGAAGUAAACCCCCUUGAAGACGACGAGGUAGAUAGGGCAGAGGUGGAAGUGCAGUAAUGCAUGGAGCUGACUGUUACUAAUCGGGUGAGGGCUUGAUC
rnacentral:rRNA from 1 species